rnacentral:pre_miRNA from 14 species
UGUUAAAAUAACAUGGAAAGAUACCUAAGUCUUGCCCUCAUGCUGAAAGAUCCCACGCAGAGAGACCCUUACUCAAGUCUUGGGAAAUCGCGGACCCCAGACACAGAGAGACCA